rnacentral:rRNA from 1 species
AGCGAUUUUGAUGCCUCUUUGGGGGCCAACGGCUGGAGAUGCUCUCACUCCACCGCACUAGCCUUUCCCCAUUCUCCUAUCCACUCCUCUCCUGGCUACUCCUCGGGCCAACAGCAGCCGUCGACGGGGAGCGCAACUCGCCUUGUGGCACGGCGGAGCAGGCGGCCGAACAGCCGAAGGAUGAGGAAGCUGGUGGAGGCGCGUUGUGACGGCAGCGGUGCGUGGUGGCUGGCCGAGGACGAUGAAGCGAGCGGAGGCGGCGACUCCCAGUCCCAAGCCAGCGCGGAUCAGCGGGGCUCCGACGCCGUGGGAGUUCGUCGUGGACGCCAACGGGGAGCCUGAGGAUAUGGCUCAGACGGAGGUGGCGCGGCGCGAGCACUCGGCAGCUGGGGCACGGCGCGGAUGCAGCUGCGUGGUUGCGCCUGGAGUGCGAGGAAGCGGGCGGGGCAGCGGCGCUGAGGCCCGCUAGACUCUGGUGGAUGUGGCCUUGGUCGCCGCCGUCCGCUGGUCUCUUCGUUCAGCGAAUCGACGCCGGAUUUGUAGGGUCCAACGGUGCGGGGUGGCUCUGUUGACCUUGCGCAAGGACGGCGCGCGUGGGGAAGACAACCACCAUGGCCAACCUAGUGGCAUCCCUGGGGCUCGGCAAUCACGAUGCGUUUCGAACUUCGCGGCCCGUGAUGAGGCGGCCGUCGGCGCCAGAGGUCGACUCCCCUGGUCAACGUCUCCUUCCUAGAAGAAGAGGAGAUUAUUCUUCAGAGAAUUAUGGCGUUUCUUUUGGUUUGUAACCAUCAUCAAUAACACAUGGGCAACUAUUCAGUAAUCUGUGUACCUUACACUACUUCCUCCUGUUUGCACUGAUGUGUGGAUUCCUCAAAUUUUGAAGCAGCCUGAAUGUUACCAUCAGAUUCUAAUUCACUUUGGCAUGUCUCAAAUUCUGUUAUAUUUUUUGCUAGCUGAUUUCUGAGUCAAGUUGUGAUAAAUUAGCUAGCUUAGCUAUGUACUGAAGUUAGUAGUUCAGUUUGGUGUGUACCCGAGGUUCUGCUUAAAAUAGUUACCAUUGUAUUAGACAUAUAUUUGACAUCUUAUUUAGCAAGAUAUUCCUCGAGAAUAGACACAGUUUCCAUCUUGUCAACUACAACUCCGACGUACGUUUUUUGCCUCCAAAAUCGCCAUGUCUCACUAUACAUUUUUUCUUAAAUUUGCCCUCUAACUAUAAAACUUUUCUUAAAUUUUCCUGGAAGAUGGCAAAUAUACUAAUCGAAUCAUUGCAAAUUUUAGUUCUCGUAUCAUGGAAAAUUCAUUGCUUUCUUGCCAUGGCAACUUUUGAUUUUUGGAUCAUGGCGCGUUUUUACUGUUUUCUACCAUGACAUUUUUUUUGGUAGACCAUGGCAACUAAUCUUAUACUUUUUGCCAUGCAAACAUCAAACAUUUAGUUAAUUGAUCAUGGCAAAUUUAGUUAACACAUCAUAACAAACACUCUUCCUGGAAGAUGGCCAAUAUAGUUAUCGUAUCAUGGCAAAUUUAGUUCUGAGAUCAUGGCUAAUUCAUUGCUUUCUUGCCAUGGCAACAUUUGAUUUUUUUAAAUUGUCGUUGUAAUUCUUUAAAUUGUCAAAAACAACAAAAAAUGACGAAUAUUGCCAUGGCAAGUUUUACUAAUUAUUUCACCUUUAUUAACAUGGCGAAUUUACCUAAAUCGCCAUGACAACUUUUUAACUUUUAUUGCCAUGGGAAAUUUACCUUUUAUUAACAUGGCAAAUUUAUCUAAAUCCCCAUGGCAAUAUCUAAGUUUUAUUGCCAUGGCAAGUUUUUACUAUUUAUUUGAUCUUUGUUAACAUGGCAAAUUUACCUAAAUCCUCAUGGCAACAUCAAACUUUUAUUGCCAUGGCAAGUUUUACUAUUUAUUUGCCAUGGCAAUAAAAGUUUUAAUCCCCAUGGCAAGUUUUACUAUUUAUGUUUGCCAUGGCAAAUUUACCUAAAUCCCCAUGACAAUAUUAAACUUUUCUUGCCAUGCCAAAUUUAUUUCAAGUACCAUGGCAAAUUUAAUUCAAAUACCAUGCAAAUUUUCUUUUUUUGGUAUCAUGGCCAAAUUUACUUCUUUAUUGCCAUGUCAACUUUACCAUGUCUCUUUUGUUUCAAUUACCAUGUCUUUUUUUCCUAUCAUGCCCAUUUUUUUUACUUUCUGAUGCCAUGUCAAAUUCCAUCGUCUUCUUUUUUCAUGGGACCAUGGCUCAUUUUCCUUUUGUGAAACAUGGCAAUUAGCACCAAAAAAUAUAUGGUACACUUUGUUUUCUGUUCUACAUAAUGGCAAUAUUCAAUCCACAUUUUUUGUUUGUCUUCCAUCUAUAUAGUAAAACGUCGUGCCAAUAAAUUCAACUUUUUUUGCCAUUGCAAUUUUCCGUUUAUUGGCAUGGCUAUUUUUAGCUAAAUCGCAUGGCCAUUUUUAACUUUUAUUGCCAUGGCAUUUGUUAAUCUUAUUUUGCCAUGACAAUUUUUACAAUUUUUUCCAUGGCUAAAUUACCCAUAUGUACAUAGAAAAUAUUUAACUAUUAUUCCCAUGGCAAUUUUUACUCUUUUAUUUGCCAUGGAACUUUCGCAUUUAUAUGCAAUGGCAAAAUUACCAAUAUUUCCAUGUCAAAUUUAAUUAAAUCGCCUUGGCAAUUUUUGACUUUUAUUGCCAUGGCAUUUUUUACUCUUUAUUUUUUCCAUGGCAAUUUAUAUUUAUUUUCCAUGGCUAAAUUUCCUAUAUCGACAUGGCAACAUGGCAAAAUACGCUUACACCUCUUUUUCUAGGGAUUUAUACAUACAAUGCAAGUUGCCAUGACUUUUUCAUGCCAUUGCAUAAAGAAAUAUCUUUAUGUCCAUGACAAAAUAUGUUUUGUUAAAGACGAAUGACAUUUUUUGGUUUGCAUCACUGGGAUUUUCUGGUCUCAAAUUUCCCCUUUUUUGUUGUAAUUUUUUCCAUGGCAUGGCAAAGUCUGGGCUCUCUUUCACAGCUUAAAAAAUGUUUUUUAGUCGCAGUACGAAGUGGGUCAUCCUGGGCUUUUCAUUUCUUUUUUUAUUAGUCACAACAGAGAGGCCUGUACGGGAGGGACGCUGGGUGUUCGGGCUGGACUCCUCUCGUCCCGAAAUGUUUUGUUCGAUCGAUACCUAGCUUCGCCCGAACAAGUCGUUCGGUCUGGGGGUCUCCCCAGCGCCAUAUUGGGGUCCUAUUUUUGACCCUCAUAAGUGACACAUGUGUGACACGAACUUAUGGCAAUUUUGAAUUUUUUUAUGGCAAAUUUAGUGAUGUGAGAGCAACUCUAAUACGUCUCCAACGUAUCUAUAAAUUUUUAAUUGCUUCAUGCUAUAUUAUCUUCUGUUUUAGAUAUUAUUGGGCUUUAUUAUCCAUUUUUAUAUUAUUUUUGAAACUAACCUAUUAACCGGAGGCCCAGCCCAGAAUUGCUGUUUUUUUGCCUAUUUCAGGGUUUCGCAGAAAAAGAAUAUCAAACGGAGUCCAAACGGAAUGAAACCUUCGGAAACGUGAUUUUCGAAACGAACAUGAUCCAGAGGACUUAGACCCUACGUCAAGAAAUCAAGCAGUAGGCCACGACGUAGGGGGGCGCGCCCUCCACCCUCGUGGGCCCCACGUUGCUCCAUCGACGUACUCAUUCCUCCUAUAUAUACCUACGUAUCCCCAAACGAUCAGGAGUCAAAAACCUAAUUCCACCGCCGCAACCUUCUGUACCCACAAGAUCCCAUCUUGGGGCCUGUUCCGGAGCUCCGCCGGAGGGGGCAUCCAUCAUGGAGGGCUUCUACAUCAACACCAUAGCCUCUCCGAUGAAGUGUGAGUAGUUUACCUUAGACCUUCGGGUCCAUAGUUAUUACCUAGAUGGCUUCUUCUCUCUUUUUGGAUCUCAAUACAAUGUUCUCCCCCUCUUUCGUGGAGAUCUAUUCGAUGUACUUUUCUUUUGCGGUGUGUUUGUUGAAACCGAUGAAUCGUGGGUGGGUUUAUGAUCAAGUUUAUCUAUGAACAAUAUUUGAAUCUUCUGAAUUAUUUUAUGUAAGAUUGGUUAUCUUUGC